GCGCCAGUAGCUCAGUUGGAUAGAGCGUCGGCCUCCGGAGCCGAAGGUCAGAGGUUCGAAUCCUCCCUGGCGCA
rnacentral:tRNA from 1 species